CCCGGUGUCGCUGCUCGUCGGGCCGCGCGGGGAAGGCGGCAGCCAGGAUCCGCUCCGUCACGAGAUAUGGCAACACUUGGAGAACCAAGAACUUCUUAACUACAGGGACACAUGUAUCCAGCAUCAGAUGAAAGAUUACAAAUGGCAAGAGAGAACACGCAUACCUAUCUGACUCCUUCCAGUGGUCUUUGUUCCCUCCGUCUCCUGGACCACGGCUGGAGUUCCCACUUUGGCCUUUUGGGACACUCACCCCAUCUACUUUGUUUUCAUCUGUUUGUGUGAAGAUGCAAAAAUAAAUUGAAGGCAAGUAAAAUAUUAAGUACUGUCCCUAAGUUUCCUUUUAGCUGCAGAAAAGUGUGCCCAUGUGCACUGAGGGAAACUCAACCUCACCCCAACCCAGAUUUCUCUCCUAAACCCUUCUUUCCACAUUCCUUU